AACGAACGCUGGCGGCAUGCCUAACACAUGCGAGUCGAACGAGACCUUCGGGUCUAGUGGCGCACGGGUGCGUAACGCGUGGGAACCUGCCCUUAGGUUCGGAAUAACUCCCCGAAAGGGGUGCUAAUACCGGAUAAUGUCUUCGGACCAAAGAUUUAUCGCCUUUGGAUGGGCCCGCGUUGGAUUAGCUAGUUGGUAGGGUAAAAGCCUACCAAGGCGACGAUCCAUAGCUGGUCUGAGAGGAUGAUCAGCCACACUGAGACUGAGACACGGCCCAGACUCCUACGGGAGGCAGCAGUGGGGAAUAUUGGACAAUGGGCGAAAGCCUGAUCCAGCAAUGCCGCGUGAGUGAUGAAGGCCUGAGGGUUGUAAAGCUCUUUUACCCGGGAUGAUAAUGACAGUACCGGGAGAAUAAGCUCCGGCUAACUCCGUG
rnacentral:rRNA from 1 species